rnacentral:rRNA from 1 species
UAACACCAGCGCCACAAGUGGCAACCGUUUUUAUUGGGCCUAAAGCGUCCGUAGCCGGUUCAGUAAAUUUUCUGUGAAAUCGUUGGGCUUAACUUAACGACGUGCAGGAAAGACUGCUGGACUAGGGACCGGGAGGCGUCAGAGGUAUUCUUGAGGGAGCGGUAAAAUGCUAUAAUCUCAGGAGGACCACCUGUGGCGAAGGCGUCUGACGAGAACGGAUCCAACGGUGAGGGACGAAAGCCAAGGGAGCGAACCGGAUUAGAUACCCGAGUAGUCUUGGUCGUAAACGCUGCGAGCUAGGUGUUGUGUAUUCUUCGGGAAUGUGCAGUGUCGAAGCGAAGGUGAUAAGCUCGCCGCCUGGGAAGUAUGGUCGCAAGACUG